CGACCGCCAAAUCCGCAGCGCUCCCACCCCCGUCCGCCCUAGAUCUGGAUCCUGCCCCAUCAUCGGCGCGUCCUCCCCAGCCCGCCCGAGACUCGGAUCCCGCCGCUCCCCCGUCUCUCCUCACCUUCCUUCCCCCCCUCCCUGCUCGGUGCUCGCACACGCCGGCGCGGCUUGCCCCCACGCUAUGCUCCCACCACCACUCGCUGAUCGCCUCACGCACACGCACCAACCCACCGGCCGACGAGGGGCAACCGCCGCAACACAAAUCCACACGCCCGCCGCCGCCGUGUAGGACUCGACCCCGACGACGACGAGGGCACGGCGGCACUCCUGACACUUGAACCGCGACAAAGAAGGAUACACGGACGGAAGAUCUGCGGCGCGCGGGCUGCUGCCAGCGGAUCGUCGGCGGCGGCGGGCGGCGAGAGUUUGAAGAACCAGAGAUGUUUUGACCGUGCCCAAAAGUUUGGCUAUGGAAGAUGUCUAGAAGAAUCUGAUAUGAGAUUCACAUCAAACAAGCUGAUGAGCAAGUCUACUGUAUUCUGUGGAUGAUCUAAGACCAGUACUUGACGAUCUUACUGUAUCGUUGCCCCCCAUAUUAUUGUUUAAUUUAUUUGUUUAUUUUUACUCCUUUACUAUUCCGUACUAUAUGGCAAGUCUCGCCAUCUAGAAGUUGUUGCUGGUUCAGGUUACCUUACCUGAUGCUCUGAAUAUUUGCUGUUAUUGUGCUUAGGUGUAUGACCUUAACAUUAAUUUUAGGUAUCUUAGGAUGAUUCUGGAUGUUCAGGUCUAUCGCACUACAUGCUACACAAGUCAAUUUUGUAGGCUGCUCUGAAAUAUUCAUGUGUAGAUACAACUGGUUGUCUAGGCCAAUUUCUUGCACUUGGUGCAAAGGUAAUUCUCUCAUUUUGAAGUAGAAAUUGUUAGGUACUUUGCCAACUUAUUUUGAAAAAAUCACUUUAUGGACAGUAGAUGGUAGACCCUUGCAAUUAGCAAAUGUCAUGUCCUGUAUUGUGGUGAAUAAUACGAAUUAUAUAAUUUACAUCAACGACGACAAAGCCUUUUACUACCAAGUUACUUGGAGUAACGGUCAAACCACUCUUAAAAAUGUAACUGGUCCAUCAAGAUGCAAUGCAUAUCUGGUCACUGGUGCUCCAUAUUCAGAGUUUCCUCCAUUUGAUUUUUGAUUUCUGUAUUUGACCAAUGUGUAACAUUUUGUUAUUGCGUGAACUGAAUCAGCGAUUAACUUAUAACUAUCUUGUGUGGUUUACAUGAUCUGUUUUCAGUAAAACAUUACCUCUGCACAUUAGCAUUGAUUUCUUUGUAUGGUCUUUCAGGUGUAUGCAGCUGAAGCCUGUGAAAUUGUUGUCCUGGCGAGGUGUUCUAGUCGAGGUACUUUUACCACGUCCAUACGCUGAAGCAGAAGGAGGACGCCAGGGUGAAGCUCGUGCAGCGUGUGAUUGCGCAGGAGGAGGAGGAGGACUUGAACUGGGAGGUCGAUGACGACGAAGAGGAAGAGCAGCAGAGAGACAACACGGAGGAGCUAGCAGAACAUAGGCAAGAGCCGAUCAAAGAAAAAGUCAGACAGGAUAUGGCUGAGAAAGAAAAUGUGGAGAGAAUUGUAGAAGAAAGUGGAGUUGAGACGGUGGAAGAGGCGCCUGGUUUGGUGAAGGAAGAGAAGAAUGAUGAUACAGACGGUGUAAUGCAGGAGUACUAUCUACUUGCGUGGUGCUGGAGGGUUUUCAGACUCUUCACGACCGUACUCAUAUGCUACCUAUCCUGCUUAUCAAGUUUCUCGCAUUUCUAUUCCAAAUUCGGCACCUUCUGCAGUAUGCGACGACUAGACAAAGCAAUCCCAGGCAUGUUACUUUAUUUGCUUGUACAGCGCUGCAAUAUCUGGUAUUUGUUGCUAAUAAGGCACAACUCAUGUUUCACACUGUGCCAAUGUGAUCACAAUUUUUUAUAGCCCGUUUUGAUUAAUUAAUGUGUCCUUCCUACUGGCAUCAUUCAUAGUACAAUUCAGUGUCCGCUUUCAAGUGUUUUAAAUUCUGAAUUAUUUAACCAAGACCCAAGAGAACAAGUUCUAUUUUUUUCGCAAACGAAAUCAGUUUCUCAGUUUGUAAACAUGAAUGUUGUUAUGCAAAGCCUAAUUCUUUCUCUCUCUUUUUUAAUAAGGCAUUGUUAUACAGGCUAUCUGGGGAUUACAAUCCUUUGCAUUCAGACCUAGAUAUUGCACAACUUGCUGGAUGUUGGACUGAGAAGCCUCUCUGUUUCAAGCUUUCAGCCUCUUCUUUCUUAGCACUUGUCCAAGUUAAGCAUUUGUGGCAAUGUAGAUAAUCUCAGAACCAGGUUCACCCAUCCAAUCCUGCACGACCUCUGCACCCUAGGAUUCGCUGCUCGCACCGUCAUAAAAUCUUUCUGCAACGGCGAACCGACGGCGGUGAAGAGCAUCUUCAGUCGUUUCCUUCUGCACGUCUACCCCGGGGAAACGUUGUCCACUGAGAUGUGGCUUGACGGCCAGAAGGUGCACUACCAAACGAAGGCCAAUGAUAUUUUGACUUUCAUUCCUUUUUAGGUUUGAGCAAAAGGGAGCUGCAGCCUGCAGGGCUUGAUUCAAGAAGGUGCAAAGGUGCUGGUCAGGGCAGCGAGCGUUAAGUUGGAUGCUCGUGUUGUCGAUCAAGUGGAAGAGGAGAAUGAUGAUAUAGAGAAUUAAAGUUUGGUAUAGUGAUCAGCUUUCUGGUGGAAGCCCGACGAGGAUUGUCUACUUCUGGAUCUUGGUCGUGUAGCUUUGUUCUGCUUCUCUUGUGUUGUUCUUGUCCGAGUAUAAGGUCUACAAUGGCAUAAUGCUUAUACCACCUUUUUCUGUGGUAACUUAUUUUUUCUCAUGCAGUGCAUGUGACUUGAAACUUUGUUAGGACAUAGUUUGUGAAAGGGAAAUGGACCCAACAUUUUUAUAGUGGAUUUUGUUAUUUGACGUCCAUCACAAACGAUUAUGAACAGAAGCUAUGUACUUGUCUGAAUUUUAUAUAUCAUAGUGAUAUC